GGCCUACCAUGGUGGUAACGGGUAACGGGGUGUUAGGGCACGACACCGGAGAGGGAGCCUGAGAAACGGCUACCACAUCCAAGGAUGGCAGCAGGCGCGCAAAUUACCCAAUCCCGACACGGGGAGGUAGUGACAAUAAAUAACAAUACGGGGUUCUUUAGGAUCUCGUAAUUGGAAUGAGUACAAUUUAAAUCUCUUAACGAGGAACAAUUGGAGGGCAAGUCUGGUGCCAGCAGCCGCGGUAAUUCCAGCUCCAAUAGCGUAUAUUAAAGUUGUUGCAGUUAAAAAGCUCGUAGUUGAAUUUCGGGGUUAGUAAGUUGGUCAUGCCAUUGGUAUGCACUGGCUUUACUGAUUCCUCCUUCUUGACGAACCGUGAUGUCAUUAAUUUGAUGUUGCGGGAAAUCAGGACUGUUACUUUGAAAAAAUUAGAGUGUUUAAAGCAGGCUAACGCUUGAAUACAUUAGCAUGGAAUAAUGAAAUAGGACGUUAAUCCUAUUUUGUUGGUUUCUAGGAUCGACGUAAUGAUUAAUAGGGAUAGUUGGGGGCAUUGGUAUUCAAUUGUCAGAGGUGAAAUUCUUGGAUUUAUUGAAGACUAACUACUGCGAAAGCAUUUGCCCAAGGAUGUUUUCAUUAAUCAAGAACGAAAGUUAGGGGAUCGAAGACGAUCAGAUACCGUCGUAGUCUUAACCAUAAACUAUGCCGACUAGGGAUCGGAUGAUGUUAAUUCUUUAAUGACUCAUUCGGCGCCUUACG
rnacentral:rRNA from 1 species